UACGGAGGGUGCAAGCGUUGCUCGGAAUUAUUGGGCGUAAAGGGUAGGUAGGUGGUCUCAUUUGUCCGGGGUGAAAGCCUGGGGCUUAACCCCAGAAGUGCCCCGGAAACGGUGAGACUUGAGUGCUGGAGAGGUGGGUGGAAUUCCCGGUGUAGCGGUGAAAUGCGUAGAGAUCGGGAGGAACACCAGAGGCGAAGGCGGCCCACUGGACAGCAACUGACACUCAACUACGAAAGCGUGGGGAGCAAACAGG
rnacentral:rRNA from 1 species